rnacentral:rRNA from 1 species
GCAAGUCGAGCGGACAGAAGGGAGCUUGCUCCCGGAUGUUAGCGGCGGACGGGUGAGUAACACGUGGGUAACCUGCCUGUAAGACUGGGAUAACUCCGGGAAACCGGAGCUAAUACCGGAUAGUUCCUUGAACCGCAUGGUUCAAGGAUGAAAGACGGUUUCGGCUGUCACUUACAGAUGGACCCGCGGCGCAUUAGCUAGUUGGUGGGGUAAUGGCUCACCAAGGCGACGAUGCGUAGCCGACCUGAGAGGGUGAUCGGCCACACUGGGACUGAGACACGGCCCAGACUCCUACGGGAGGCAGCAGUAGGGAAUCUUCCGCAAUGGACGAAAGUCUGACGGAGCAACGCCGCGUGAGUGAUGAAGGUUUUCGGAUCGUAAAGCUCUGUUGUUAGGGAAGAACAAGUGCGAGAGUAACUGCUCGCACCUUGACGGUACCUAACCAGAAAGCCACGGCUAACUACGUGCCAGCAGCCGCGGUAAUACGUAGGUGGCAAGCGUUGUCCGGAAUUAUUGGGCGUAAAGGGCUCGCAGGCGGUUUCUUAAGUCUGAUGUGAAAGCCCCCGGCUCAACCGGGGAGGGUCAUUGGAAACUGGGAAACUUGAGUGCAGAAGAGGAGAGUGGAAUUCCACGUGUAGCGGUGAAAUGCGUAGAGAUGUGGAGGAACACCAGUGGCGAAGGCGACUCUCUGGUCUGUAACUGACGCUGAGGAGCGAAAGCGUGGGGAGCGAACAGGAUUAGAUACCCUGGUAGUCCACGCCGUAAACGAUGAGUGCUAAGUGUUAGGGGGUUUCCGCCCCUUAGUGCUGCAGCUAACGCAUUAAGCACUCCGCCUGGGGAGUACGGUCGCAAGACUGAAACUCAAAGGAAUUGACGGGGGCCCGCACAAGCGGUGGAGCAUGUGGUUUAAUUCGAAGCAACGCGAAGAACCUUACCAGGUCUUGACAUCCUCUGACAACCCUAGAGAUAGGGCUUUCCCUUCGGGG